AUAAUCAAUCUUCUCGAUUCUUCCUCUAAUCUGCAUUUUAUCUCAUUUUCUCUGCCUCUCUCUCAGUUGGAAAUUGCUGAUGGGGUCAUGGGGACAAACAAUUUUUGGUUCUACCUUGCGAUGAGCUCAAUCUGCUCUUUCUUUCUUUCUUUUUUCUUCUUCUUUUUCUUCUUCCUUUCAAUUCUUAUUUAGGAUAUUUUUCUGUUAAUGAAACAUUUAUUAAGUCAUAAAAAAGUAAAUUGAUUCCUCAUUUGCUCUAGAAGUUGAUCAAAUUGACAUAAAAAAUUGACCUUAAAAAAAAAUUUGAUAAGAAAAUAUUUGAAAUUGAUAAAUUACUAAGGUGAUCCUUUUCAGCUCUUUCUUAUUCUUAUUUAACGUCGUUGAAACUAUGUAAAAUGAAGUUGUGAAAGAGAUUUUUAUUUUUUACUCAAUAUUAUGAACACAAAGUAGGCUUUCAAAUUGCACAAGAAGAAGCUAGAGCUACUGGAUCAGUCGAACGAAGAGCCUACCGUUUUAAUUUCUGGUUUUGUUCCAUCAUGAUGCCUCUUUGCAACAUCCUUUAUUGAGUUUUUCUACUUUAACUUUAUUGUUAUUUAUAGGUUUUGCUUCCAAUUCGAGUUGUUACCAAUUGUUAAGAAAAAUUAUCACCGAAAAGAAAGAAAAAUUUUAGGUUUUUAUCAACAAACAAAGCGCUUUAUGGAACCAAGAUUCUUAAAGCGUGAAGGAAAUCUCACAUCCAUUUUUUAGGAUGAUCGAAGAACCAAAUCAGUCUAUUUUUAGCAAACCACAUUCAUCUACCUUCAUUUCGUUGUGUUCUGAGCUGAUUAAUCUGUUACGCUUUUUUCUGUGCAAUAGUUGGGUCCUUUUUCGCUUUGAUUUCGAUUCUCUUAUUGUCCUUUUCAACUUCUAAUUUUUGCAAGUUUCUGCAAUUCAUUCAUGUUCGACUAUCUCUUCUUUUUUCCAGUUUGUAUAUUUCUAAAAGAGCCUUCAUUUAUUUGUGGUACUUUUUAAUUUGUGCUUGAAAUUCUGACUGGAAAGAGUAGUAAUGCUAAAUUUUGGGUAAUAUUACUUGCUUAACAAUCUAUGGAGAAGAAAAUGUACUCUGGGCAGGUGAAACGAUUCGUACAUAGGUAUAGAAUCAAGGUGCAUAUUACAGAGGAAUGACGAUGAUUUACGCGCAUGCGAUUGUCAAGGAACUAAGGGAGACGUAGGCGAGUGGGAGGACGAAGGAGUACGAAUAGAGAAUGUCGCAGUCAUUGCUCUUAAUUUUUACUUCAGCAGUCGGAUUUUAUAUGUUAUCUCUUGAGGUUUGUGUGUGUGUUAAGUAUCUCAGACUUUGGCGAGUAUCGCUCCUUUAUUGGAAUUCAUUUUUUCCCCUUAGCUUCUUCACAUUGAGGAGACGUCGACUCCCCAAAAAUACAUCCCCCUCUUUUGAAUGACGCUUCAAGGUUUGUUUGAUAAUUUGAUCAUUUCUGAGGUAUCAGUCUCUCUGUUUAGAGUAAUCUUAUUGUUGUCAUUUUUUCGUUGAUAAUGAAUUUGUUUACUUUAAGGUCUUCGCAAUCAUAUUUUGAUACCCUUUUGAAUUAAAAGGGAGAAAUAUUUCUGCUUAAUUUGAUUGUUUACACAGAGAUAUUGUAUAGUAUAUGUUCUGAUUGGUUUCUGUUUGUUUAUCUGAGGAGUUUCUGUUUGUCAUGUGUUUGAAGCAGGAUUGUCGACAUGUCUUCUUGCAGACAAAUUAUUUUUGUUCAAGGGUAUUUUAGACUUUUCAAGAUAGACAAAAAUGCAACGUUUAACCCGAAGACUAGAGACCGCAUUCAAAGUAUUUCACCUCUGUAUCUGGAGAUUUCUCCAUUCUACUGUAUUUCUAUCUCUGUCAUACAUACCCUUGCUCAUCAUCUUAGUUUCUUUUUGCCCUUUAUUUGGUCUCCUUUCAAACUAUCUCCAUUUGGAUAAUUCUGGUGAGUUUUCUCCACUUUUUCUUUGUAGAAUUUUCUGUAUUCUUGGUUCUUUCAAUGUAGAAGAUUCCUGGUAAUGGGACUUGAUUGGGUAAUUUUAAGUGUUUUCAUCCAUUUGGACAGUUUACGCAUCUAUUUCUUUGCAAGGUAGUCCGUUAACCUGCAAAGAUUGGUGUUCUCUCUUGAGUCAUCUCUUCCCAGAAGCUUUCGAUGUAUCUCUCUCUCAUCAGAUACAAUAGAAUUAGACUCAGUUCGUAUUUUGAUAUUGUGCUUUCUCGGGUGUUUUGUCGCAAUUUUACAAGCAAAUGGAUUACUCUUGUUGUGGCCUCCGCAGCAAGCUUGGUUUUCCGGGUGAAGGCAUACUCAUCCCAUGUCAAAGCUUCAAUUAUGGGCAAGACUGAUUUUUUCAGGGUAAGCAGUGUUGAAUAUGAAUCUAUGUUUGAAAAGUGCACCUGCAAAAUAGCAGAACAACAACAGCAGCAACAUACCCAGUGAAAUCCCACAAUGUGGGGUUUGGGGAGGGUAAAGUGUAUGCAGACCUUAUUCCUAAAGCGAAAAACACUAAUUGAAUCUUAAGUUAUUAUAUGGUUUGCUUCUAUCUGUCCAUUCUUAUUCUUAGGUGCUUACUAGAGGUUUAUGUAGUUUUCCGCUCUAAGGUUCUCCUUAUACCAAGUUUUGGGGAUAUACCUGCCAUUGUCAAAGUCAUUUUCACAGGUGAUUUGGCUGUGCUUCUUAGCUCAAUGAAGUCAGGCUGUUUAUUCAGUCGCUGCACAAUAUUUAGAAUGUGCUAAAAGAUAUAUAGCGUCUGUGCUAUGCUUAUGAAAAGGACUGCAUUAGUAUUCCCUAUGAUCAAGUUUUAUUAGCAUUUUAGUUUUAUCCAAAGCCCAAAAAAGGUUUGUGUCAUUAUAGAUCCAAACACUUCCCCCAGCCAGGCAAAAGGGUUAGCCUGAAGUGGUGGUUUAGCCAAAGGGGGAACAUGCAACAGUUGAUCUUGGUCUGUUUUGGUUGGUUUAGUCAACUAGACUUUAAAUUCAUAGUCUUGUAACAUAAUCGUCUGAACUUUGGGAAUCAUAGUGGUGAUUCGGCUGCCUACCACCAGCUUCUUAGCUCAAUAAAGUCAGGUUAUGGCCCGCACAAUAUUUACAAUGUACCAAAAGAUAUAUCAUCUGAGCUAGGCUUAUGAAAAGAACUGUAUUAAUAUUUUUAUGACCAGGUUUUACUACUAGCAUUUUAGUUUAGUAGUCUAAUAUUGUGGGAAGAAAAUUUAUCAUAUCUACUUAAGUAACUGACAUGGUUUCUAUUGCUAUAUGUUUUCUUUUUCGUUGUUUAGUUUUCCUUCUUUCAUUUAGGGAGUGGAGGACGGAUAGGAUUGGUGGAAUAUAUAAGAGGGGUAAUCUUUGUGUUAGAUAUGAAGAUAUCGUCCAUGAAGCAUCCUUGAUAUUUCAUGAUCAAGGGUGUAAUAGUCUUUGUAGAACUGGUCCUUCUUUAUUGUUAACAUAAUAUCGUCAGAUAAGUAGUGUUACGAUGAAUGAAUUUGCUAAAAGAGAAGUGUUUUAGUGCUUAUUUCCUUGUUAGUGGGAUUGGUUCUAAUCAAUCCAUGAUUAAAGUAAGUUUUUUCCUCAGGUUAUAUUUCUAAUGGUAGCACGAUGUUUAGGGUGUAAAAGAAGUAUCUUUUGAACUAGGCUUACGAAAAGGAUUAUAUUGAUAUUAUAUAUGACUAAAUUGUAGUAGCAGUUUCAUAUUUUUUGUGUAAUGGUGUUGGAGAAAUUUAUUUUUCUCUGAUACAUUUCAAUUUAUCUU